AGUGAACGCUGGCGGUAGGCCUAACACAUGCAAGUCGAACGGCAGCACAGUAAGAGUUUGCUCUUCUGGGUGGCGGGUCGCGGACGGGUGACGAAAACAACGGACUCUACUUUUUCGUGGGGGAUAACGAAGGGAAACCUACGCUAAUACAGCAUACGACCUACGGGUGAAGGCAGGGGAUCUUCGCACCUUGCGCGAUUGAAUGAGCCGCUGUCGGAUUAGCUAGUUGGGGGGGUAAAGGCCCACCGAGGCGACGAUCCGUAGCCUGUCGGUGAGGAGGAUACGCCACCCGGGAACGGGCACGCCGUCCAGACCCCUGCGGGACGGAGCAGUGGGGAACAGUGGACAAUGGGCGCAAACCUGAUCCAACCAUACCGCGUGGGUGAAGAAGGCGUCCGGGUUGUAAAGCCCGUUUGUUGGGAAAGAAAAGCAGCCGCCUAAUACCACGCUGUUCUGACGGUACCCAAAGAAUAAGCACCGGCUAACUUCGUG
rnacentral:rRNA from 1 species